rnacentral:rRNA from 1 species
UACAGAGGGGGCGAGCGUUGUUCGGAAUUACUGGGCGUAAAGGGCGCGUAGGCGGCCUUCUAAGUCGGACGUGAAAUCCCUCGGCUCAACCGAGGAACUGCGUCCGAUACUGGUUGGCUUGAAUUCGGGAGAGGGAUGCGGAAUUCCAGGUGUAGCGGUGAAAUGCGUAGAUAUCUGGAGGAACACCGGUGGCGAAGGCGGCUCUCUGGGACGGUACUGACGCUGAGACGCGAAAGCGUGGGGAGCGAACAGG